AAAUAUAUCAUCUUCUUAUAUAAUUCAAAAUAAUUUAUAAGAUACAUAUAAUACAUGUUUUAUUCACGAAUAAUGAUAUAUGUUCAAUUCAGUUUAUAGAUCAUUGUCUUGUCUUUCGUUAGUUACGUUUUCAAUUCAUUCUUAAUUCUCUCUUCUAAUUCAACUUUAAUACUAUGUAAUACAAUUUUAAUGCAAAUUUAAUUCAUUUNNNNNNNNNNNNNNNNNNNNNNNNNNNNNNNNNNNNUUGUUUAAUUCAUUAUUGAUACAAGUUUAAUUUACUAAAUAGGUCAAUGUCUGGUCUUUCAUUAGUUACAUGUUUUUAUUCAUGCUUAAUUCUCUCUUCUAACUCAACUUUAAUAUUUGUGUAAUACACUUUUAAAUACAAGUUUAAUUCAUUUUGCAAUUAAUUGGUUGAUUUGUUACGAUUGGAUUACUUGUUUAAUUCAUUAUUGAUACAAGUUUAAUUUACUAAAUAGGUCAAUGUCUGGUCUUUCAUUAGUUACAUGUUUUUAUUCAUGCUUAAUUCUCUCUUCUAACUCAACUUUAAUAUUUGUGUAAUACACUUUUAAAUACAAGUUUAAUUCAUUUUGCAAUUAAUUGGUUGAUUUGUUACGAUUGGAUUACUUGUUUAAUUCAUUAUUGAUACAAGUUUUUUUUAGUUUAUAUGCAAAAUGCUCUUUGUUUGCUACAUUUUGCAUUCAUGUUUGAUUCUCUUAUAAUAAUUCAACUUUAAUAUGUUUGUAAUACAUUUUUAAUUCAAGUUUAAUUCAUUUUGCAGUUUCUUAUGUCUCUUUAUUUGUUACGAUUAAAUUACUUGUCUAAUUAAUUAUUGAUACAAGUUUUAUUCAGUCUAAAAUCAUUGACUACUC
rnacentral:lncRNA from 1 species